rnacentral:rRNA from 1 species
CAGUCGCCACGGUAAUACGUAGGGUGCAAGCGUUAAUCGGAAUUACUGGGCGUAAAGCGUGCGCAGGCGGUUCGGAAAGAAAGAUGUGAAAUCCCAGGGCUCAACCUUGGAACUGCAUUUUUAACUACCGGACUAGAGUAUGUCAGAGGGAGGUGGAAUUCCACGUGUAGCAGUGAAAUGCGUAGAUAUGUGGAGGAACACCGAUGGCGAAGGCAGCCUCCUGGGAUAAUACUGACGCUCAUGCACGAAAGCGUGGGGAGCAAACAGGAUUAGAUACCCCCGUAGUCCCUGUCUCUUAUAU